GGGUUGUGAGGUUAAGCGACUAAGCGUACACGGUGGAUGCCCUGGCAGUCAGAGGCGAUGAAGGACGUGCUAAUCUGCGAUAAGCGCCGGUAAGGUGAUAUGAACCGUUAUAACCGGCGAUUUCCGAAUGGGGAAACCCAGUGUGACUCGUCACACUAUCAUUAACUGAAUCCAUAGGUUAAUGAGGCGAACCGGGGGAACUGAAACAUCUAAGUACCCCGAGGAAAAGAAAUCAACCGAGAUUCCCCCAGUAGCGGCGAGCGAACGGGGAGGAGCCCAGAGCCUGAAUCAGCAUGUGUGUUAGUGGAAGCGUCUGGAAAGGCGCGCGAUACAGGGUGACAGCCCCGUACACAAAAGCGCAUGUGUUGUGAGCUCGAUGAGUAGGGCGGGACACGUGGUAUCCUGUCUGAAUAUGGGGGGACCAUCCUCCAAGGCUAAAUACUCCUGACUGACCGAUAGUGAACCAGUACCGUGAGGGAAAGGCGAAAAGAACCCCGGCGAGGGGAGUGAAAAAGAACCUGAAACCGUGUACGUACAAGCAGUGGGAGCACCCUUUUGGGUGUGACUGCGUACCUUUUGUAUAAUGGGUCAGCGACUUAUAUUCUGUAGCAAGGUUAACCG
rnacentral:rRNA from 1 species